rnacentral:lncRNA from 1 species
GAUAUCCCUUGGUCAGAUAACCGCAGUACAGUCUGCAUUCUAGACACUCCUACCCAGCAGACUGGGCCAAGCGUGGAUGUCACCUGGGACCUCAUCUUUACUCAACCCAUUUCUUCCCAGGACUUGCUUCCCUCACUCCAUUAAUUACAGGCUCCAAACCCUGACCCCGGUUCUGCCUCCCAAGAAGCUGAAUGAAGAUGGCAGAGGGUGUUCACAGAGGUGUCCUGGGUCUACACGGAUACCCGACAACGUCAUAUCCACCCUGCCAGGCAAUCCAUCAGCCGUUCUCAGAAUACAGCAAGCUCAUUUCCACCCCAGGGCCUUCAGCGUGGGGGACAGAAGAGACACACCAAAAGCUGGAGCAGGACUGGCCUCUCCAGGCCAUGUAGUUCACACUAACCUCCUGCUAGGGUCUGGAUCUGGAACAGCCUUCAAAGGUCACGUGUUCAAUGCUUGGCGCUACUGGGGGGGGUGGAACCUUUAAGAGGCGGUCCUUGUGGGAGGGGAGAGGUCAUGGGGGCGUGGCCUCGAGGGUGAUGAACUCAGCCCCUCCCCUUUCGGUUUCUUUCAUAUCCCUGCUUUCAGGUGAGCAGCUGGCUCCGCAGUCAUCCGCCAUGACGUGCAAAAGUGAUGGGGCCACUCAAGAACUGGAAUUUAAAGUUGACACGAUUCCACCCGUUUCCCAGGAAUUUGCUGCCACUAUUUUUCUCUACCCCUUGAGGAUCCCAGAAAUGACAAGAAGAGAAAGAGCACUUGAAGAGGCUGGCCGGGUGCACCUUGGCUGUUCUGAUAAUGACAGCAGGGAUGGGCGGGAAGGCUCCUGGACACCUCGAGAUCCCAGGGUGUGGAAACGGCGGGGACCAAGAGGUGGCUCUGAGAUCCAGCAAGAAACACAGGCGGAGAAACUUCCACCAGACACAGGGACAGGUGGACCCGCGGCCAGGCAGACAAACCUCCCUCCGCCUUUUCCUGCCUGGCCAGCCUCCCUGUCCCCUGGGUACCACCCGCCACCCACAGCAGCAGCAGCAGCAGCAGCAGCAGCAGCAGCAGCAGCAGCAGCAGCAGCAGCAGCAGCGCCUUUGCCUGAGGCCUGA